UACAGAGGUCCCGAGCGUUGUUCGGAUUCAUUGGGCGUAAAGGGUGCGUAGGCGGCGGGGCAAGUCUGAUGUGAAAUCCUGGGGCUCAACCCAGAACUGCAUUGGAUACUGCUUUGCUAGAGUACUGGAGAGGGAACUGGAAUUUACGGUGUAGCAGUGAAAUGCGUAGAGAUCGUAAGGAAGGCCAGUGGCGAAGGCGAGUUCCUGGACAGUGACUGACGCUGAGGCACGAAGGCCAGGGGAGCAAACGGG
rnacentral:rRNA from 1 species